rnacentral:rRNA from 1 species
GACGAACGCUGGCGGCGUGCUUAACACAUGCAAGUCGAACGGAAAGGCCCUGCUUUUGUGGGGUGCUCGAGUGGCGAACGGGUGAGUAUCACGUGGGUAACCUGCCCUUGACUUUGGGAUAACUUCAGGAAACUGGGGCUAAUACCGGAUAGGAGCUCCUGCUGCAUGGUGGGGGUUGGAAAGUUUCGGCGGUUGGGGAUGGACUCGCGGCUUAUCAGCUUGUUGGUGGGGUAGUGGCUUACCAAGGCUUUGACGGGUAGCCGGCCUGAGAGGGUGACCGGCCACAUUGGGACUGAGAUACGGCCCAGACUCCUACGGGAGGCAGCAGUGGGGAAUAUUGCACAAUGGGCGGAAGCCUGAUGCAGCAACGCCGCGUGCGGGAUGACGGCCUUCGGGUUGUAAACCGCUUUCGCCUGUGACGAAGCGUGAGUGACGGUAAUGGGUAAAGAAGCACCGGCUAACUACGUG